GACAGAGGGUGCAAACGUUGUUCGGAAUUACUGGGCGUAAAGCGAGUGUAGGCGGUCUGAAAAGUCAGGUGGGAAAGCCCUGGGCUCAACCCAGGAAGUGCACUUGAAACUGCCAGGCUAGAGUACUGGAGAGGUUGGUGGAAUUCUCGGUGUAGAGGUGAAAUUCGUAGAUAUCAGGAGGAACACCGGUGGCGAAGGCGGUGGUCUGGGCCAGUACUGACGCUGAGGAGCGAAAGCGUGGGGAGCGAACAGG
rnacentral:rRNA from 1 species